UGCGAGAAGGGCCAGGCCAGUCUGGGGCUGCGAGGCAGGGUCUCCCCUUGGAGAAGGGACCCGAUUCUAUUAUGAAUGAGAAGGAAGAGGCCGUCGCCCUGCAGUGUUGUGCGCAUAGUGGACGUGCAGCCAGCAUGGACUCGUGCACUCCUGCAAAAUCUGCAGCCUGUCCUUGCUCAUCACCGCAUCGGGCCCCUGCAGCCCACCGAAGGGAAAGGCAGCCUCAGUGGAAGCUCAGAUCGUCCGGGAGAACCAUACCAACCACAGACUGAGGUCUUAUGACCACUAACAUAAUUCGAAGCCUAACUCUAAAACCGUCUGAAGAGUGGCUUCUACUUAACAAUUCUCGAGGAAUUUUCUUCUUCUUCUACACGGCACCAAGGUCAAGGCAGGCAAAUUCCCUUGCUGUGCUCCCUUCUGUGAGGUUAGGUUAUCGUUCACCUUUAUUCUGAGAGUGCAACCCUUGAGCACUCCAGCUUCAUGGUGAUACCUCCAUGACGCUCUCCACUGUUGUGGACCCUUGGCUUCCUCUCCUCCCUCCCGCAUCCCGAGUAGCUGCCCAAAUAGAGCUCACGGUCCCAGGACUCAGCAGCUCUGCACGUUCACCUCCCUGGUUCCAGCUGUCAGCAACAUUUUGGCUUCUGUGUGUUGGUCAGCAAGAUGCAUCCACAGUGGCCAUCGGAGGGACGUAGAUCAAGGCUUCGCUCGGACCAGAGCCUGCUUGAUUGCCUUUCCUUGCUUCCAUUUCCAAGUAGGAUUUCAGUGUCAUGAUAAGAGAGCUUUCUCUACUUAAAAACGGUCAAAAUGGGCCAGGUGCAGUGGCUCAUGCCUGUAAUCCCAGCACUUGUGGAGGCCGAGGCGGACAAAUCAUGAGGUCAGGAAAUCAAGACCAUCCUGGCCAACAUAGUGAAAGCUUGUCUGUACUAAAAAUACAAAAAAAUUAGCCAGAUGUGGCAGCAUGCACCUGUAGCCCCAGCUACUCAGGAGACUGAGGCAGAAUUGUUUGAACCCGGGAGGCGAAGUUUGCAGUCAGCUGAGAUCACACCACUGCACUGCAGCCUAGUGAAAGAGUGUCUCAAAAAAAACCCAAAGAAACAACAACUACAACAACAGAAAAAACUGUCAGAAUGGUGAAAACCAUCAGUCAAGGUUCUCUGAAAAGGCCCAAUUCCACAAUUAUAUUUUGCUGUUCUAAGAAGUUAGCCAUAAUUGGCCGCUGCUGCAUUCAACACAUGAUUUUUAACCUCAGCUCGCCAGACUGUGGACUCAAGAACUCUAGGAAAUGGUAAAGAUGGCCUGGUGCCUCCUGGGUGGAAAGUGGCCCCGGACCAUGCCCAGCAGCUGCCGGUAGCGGAGCAUGUACAGGUAUGGGAGCAUGGCACGGGGAAGCAUCAUGAGCACCUCACUGUUGGUCGCCAGGAGCCACGUGUGAGUCCCGGCGCCAAUGUGGUGGUACCUGGUCAGCACCAUGUCCAGGGAGAACACCACCCCUGUGCUCACGUACAGCGUGAUCAGCACUGAGUGGAUCAGCAGGGUGCCCCUGGCCCGGGAAUAGCCCUGCCCCCAGAUACCUGAGGUCUUGGCCUCUGCAUAGAUCCUCCAGAAGCAGUAGGCAAUGAGAGCCGUGCAGAGGAAGAGAACGCACAGAAUGGAGGUGUAGGUAACAAUGACCAAGGGGCCACCUCCCUGCUGGGUGCCCAUGCUCAGCGGCAGAACGCAUGAGGCUCCUUGCUCCUCCAGCCGGUCAUCCUGCCACUUACUGAGCCAAAGAAGGAAUGAGGGGAAACAGCAGGACACCAGCCAGAUGAGGGCCACGGACUUCCAGGCAGCCCCACGGCACAUGAAGGAGAGGUAGUGCAGAGGAUGAGUGACUGCCAAGUAGGUGUGCAGCACAGUGGCCGUGAAGGACAGGAUGGUGCUGGUGCAGGCGGCGAAGACGGCGUCAGUGAGAAUCCCACAGGCCAUACGGCCCAGCUCCCAGCCACCCAGGCUGCUGGAGGAGAGGAGCAGGUGGAGGAGAACGUAGGCCAGGUCUGAGAGCAGGAUGUUGGCCAGCAGCAGGUAGUGGGGCUCCUGCCGUAGCCGUCGGUUCCGCAGGAUGGUCACCAGCAGCAGGGGGCUCACAGCCAGUGUGGCUGCAGCCAGCAGGCUCGAGGGAAGGAAGAGCCAGUGCAGCAUGGAGCUGGGCACCCCGAGGUCCCCCAGGCCCAAGGAGGUGUUGCUGGCUGCGUGGGGCAUGCAGGGUGUCUUGCUGAUGAGUUGGACCAGGGCUGGCCAG
ensembl:lincRNA